rnacentral:tRNA from 1 species
GCGGUCGUGGCGGAACUGGCAGACGCGUACGUUUGAGGGGCGUAUGGUUAUACCGUAUGGGUUCAAGUCCCAUCGACCGCACCA